CCCUGGCGUGAAGGUGGCACUGUGACUAGCUCUUGCCGAUGGAAUGGGAGGAGUCAGUUAGAAAUUUUCAUAUGGUCAAAAUACCCAUGGAAUAUAUGAGUGGCAGCAGUAAACAAUCCUUGAAGUUCUUGCUUGUUUAACUUGACUGUUGGUGAUGCCCAAUGAGGCCCUGUCUGCUCCAAGCAAAUUACAUAAAAAAGAUGUGAAUAAAAACUCAUCAAAUACUAACAGAGACUGUGUCUAAGAUGCCAAUUGAAGACUGGAACAGCCAUAUGAGUGUGGGGUAUUCCUGGAAACCUGUUCUAGUAGGCACUGGAGAAGACACAGGAACCUCUCAAUACAGAAUAGACACACUUUGCACUCAGUAAUAAUGCACUAAUUGACGAAUAUAUUGACGGAGUGUUGGUUUGCUUCACAAUCUGCUGGUAAACAUAUUCAUUUUUGGGUGAAUUUCAGGCCUUA